rnacentral:rRNA from 1 species
CAGUCGCCGCGGUAAUACGUAGGUGGCAAGCGUUGUCCGGAAUUAUUGGGCGUAAAGGGCUCGCAGGCGGUUUCUUAAGUCUGAUGUGAAAGCCCCCGGCUCAACCGGGGGGGGUCAUUGGAAACUGGAAACUUGAGUGCAGAAGAGGAGAGUGGAAUUCCACGUGUAGCGGUGAGAUGCGUAGAGAUGUGGAGGAACACCAGUGGCGAAGGCGACUCUCUGGUCUGUAACUGACGCUGAGGAGCGAAAGCGUGGGGAGCGAACAGGAUUAGAUACCCCGGUAGUCCCUGUCUCUUAUCCC